rnacentral:sRNA from 1 species
CCACACCUAGUCAGCUAAUCAGAGCUAUCACGAGACAACUGGAGACAACGCAACCCUUUGAUUUUCAAGCUACUGGGCGCUAACGUAUUGAUUCUAAACGUCGACUUUUAGGACUCCGAAGGCAGGGGUCGUGGGUUCGAACCCCGCCGGAUGCGCCAUCUUCCAGAAGCC